UCUCCGUUGGCGAACCAGCGGAGGGAUCAUUACCGAGUUUACAACUCCCAAACCCCUGUGAACAUACCAUUUGUUGCCCCGGCGAUGCCUGCUUCGGCAGCCCGCGAGAGGACCCAGACCCUUGAUUUUAUACAGUAUCUUCUGAGUAAAUGAUUAAAUAAAUCAAAACUUUCAACAACGGAUCUCUUGGUUCUG
rnacentral:misc_RNA from 1 species